rnacentral:rRNA from 1 species
GGCGGCAUGCCUAACACAUGCAAGUCGAACGGAAACAGGACGCUGUGAUCUCUUCGGAGUGAACUUGUCGCUGUCGAGUGGCGGACGGGUGAGUAAUGCAUAGGAAUUUGCCUUGAAGUGGGGGAUAGCCCGGAGAAAUCCGGAUUAAUACCGCAUGUGCUCUACGGAGCAAAGCGGGCCUCUGAUUCAAGCUCGCGCUUUGAGAUAAGCCUAUGUCGGAUUAGCUUGUUGGUAGGGUAAAAGCCUACCAAGGCGACGAUCCGUAGCUGGUUUGAGAGGAUGAUCAGCCACACUGGGACUGAGACACGGCCCAGACUCCUACGGGAGGCAGCAGUGGGGAAUAUUGGACAAUGGGCGGAAGCCUGAUCCAGCAAUGCCGCGUGUGUGAAGAAGGCCUGCGGGUUGUAAAGCACUUUUAUCGGGAAAGAAAACCCCAGGAUUAAUACCCCUGGGUCUUGACGGUACCCGAAGAAUAAGCACCGGCUAACUCAGUG